rnacentral:rRNA from 1 species
UACGGGGGGGGCAAGCGUUGUUCGGAAUUAUUGGGCGUAAAGGGCUCGUAGGCGGUUUGUCGCGUCGGGAGUGAAAACCUUGGGCUUAACUCAGGGCUUGCUUUCGAUACGGGCAGACUAGAGGUAUGCAGGGGAGAACGGAAUUCCUGGUGUAGAGGUGAAAUUCGUAGAUAUCGGGAGGAACACCGGUGGCGAAGGCGGCGACCUGGGUCGAGACUGACGCUGAGGCGCGAAAGCGUGGGGAGCAAACAGG